rnacentral:rRNA from 1 species
UACGUAGGGUGCAAGCGUUGUCCGGAAUUAUUGGGCGUAAAGAGCUCGUAGGCGGUCUGUUGCGUCGGCUGUGAAAACCCGGGGCUCAACCCCGGGCCUGCAGCCGAUACGGGCAGACUAGAGUUCGGCAGGGGAGACUGGAAUUCCUGGUGUAGCGGUGAAAUGCGCAGAUAUCAGGAGGAACACCGGUGGCGAAGGCGGGUCUCUGGGCCGAUACUGACACUGAGGAGCGAAAGCGUGGGGAGCAAACAGG